GAUGAACGCUAGCUACAGGCUUAACACAUGCAAGUCGAGUGAACGGGGGACGGGUGAGUAACACGUGUAAAACAUGCCCUUUACUCGGGGAUAGCCUUACGAGAGAGAUAUUAAUACCUGAAGUAACGGAUGGGGAUGAGUUCCAUUAGGUUGUUGGUGAGGUAACGGCGUAACAAGCCGUCGAUGGAUAGGGGUUAUGAGAGGAAGGUCCCGCACAUUGGAACGGAGACACGGUCCAAACUCCUACGGGAGGCAGCAAUGAGGAAUAGUGGUCAAUGGGCGUUAGCCUGAACCAGCCAAGUAGCGUGAAGGAUGAAGGCUUAUGGGUCGUAAACUUCUUUUAUAGAAGAAUAUGUAUUAUAUGAAGAAGGAUCGGCUAACUCCGUGCCAGCCGCCGCGGUAAUUC
rnacentral:rRNA from 1 species